rnacentral:lncRNA from 1 species
AAAAGAAAAAAAAAGAUACAUAUUAAAGCUCUCCUCUACAGUGGUAUUCGCAAGUCUUCCACAUAGCAAGAAGUCGUCGUCUCCAAGGGGUGAGCCGCAAGUUUUCGAUCCUCCAUGUUUGCGAUCAAAGCCUAGGUCCGCAUUCGUGAUCAAAUCCCAACAACAAGUGGUCUAUCAAUUCAAGAAUAAGCGAAGCUUUCGAAUUGACUGUCGUGAGGAGAAGAAUCAGAUGAUUACAUAUUUUAAACUUAAGAUUGUUCAAAGAUUGUAACGCGCAUAAAUUAUUGAAAUACAAAUACUUUUUUGUCGUUAUAUUUCUGUUUUGAAUUAUUAUUUUCAGGAACUAAAUUUUAGUUGUUACAAAUUUUUACAUGUUGUUUUGAUUUAAAUAAAUAACAAAAAAGGAUGGAAAAUAGCAUGUCGAGUUUUAGUUUCGUGUCAAAUGCUGCUUUAAAAAAGAAAUCUUCUCUAUGUUAGAAGAAGUUAUUACUGUAAGCUUGAGUUGAUGUAUGAAUGAAUAUGAAUU